AUGGAAGUGAUGUUAGCUAGUACUGCCUUAAGUGUAAGCUUAAAAUUCGCUGCAUCGCCAGCCUUGAAGAAGCUCCUUGCUAAUGCUUCAACGUACCUUGGAGUGGACAUGGUGCAUGAGCUCCAUGAACUGGAGAGCACUAUUUUGCCACAGUUCGAGCUGUUGAUUGAAGCAGCAGACAAGGGAAACCACAGGCCCAAGUUGGACAAAUGGCUUCAGGAACUCAAAGAAGGCUUUUACAUGGCUGAAGACUUGCUGGACGAGCAUGAGUACAAUCUCCUGAAGCGCCAAGCAAAGGGAAAGGAUUCCUUGCCGGCCAGUGCCUCCUCCAUCAACAACACUUUUAUGAAGCCUCUGCAUGCUGCGUCGAGUAGGCUCGCCAAUCUAAGCUCAAAGAACAGAACGCUAAUUCGCCAUCUGAAGGAACUGAAGGCUACCCUCGUGAAAGCCAAGGACUUUCAUCAAUUGCUCUGCUUACCAGCUGGUUCUGGUUAUAAUGCAGAGAGCCCUGCCAUACCAUCAGCUGCUUUUCCCGAGACCACAUCAAUACCACCUCUGAAAGUGAUUGGUCGUGACAAGGAGCGUGAUCGUAUAAUUGAUCAACUUACCAAGACAACUGCAACUACCGAGUGUAGUACAUCUAUGUACUCGGGUUUGGCAAUUGUUGGAGCUGGAGGCAUGGGAAAGUCCACCUUGGCACCACAUGUUUACAAUGACAAGAGGGUAAAGGAAUAUUUUGAUGUAACUAUGUGGGUAAGCAUCUCACGCAAACUUGAUGUCCGCCGUCAUACACGGGCGAUCAUUGAGUCUACAUCUCAGGGGGAAUGUCCGCGCAUUGAUAACCUUGAUACUCUGCAGCGCAAGUUGACAGACAUACUGCAAAAAUCAGGUAAAUUCCUGCUUGUGUUGGAUGAUGUUUGGUUUGAACCUGGCAGUGAGAGGGAAUGGAACCAACUAUUAGCUCCCCUAGUUUCCCAACAGACGGGAAGCAAAGUUUUGGUAACUUUCUCGACGCAAUACAUUUCCAGCUGCUCUUUGUUGUGA
rnacentral:rRNA from 1 species